AUUGAACGCUGGCGGCAGGCCUAACACAUGCAAGUCGAACGGUAACAGGAAACAGCUUGCUGUUUCGCUGACGAGUGGCGGACGUGUGAGUAAUGUCUGGCAAACUGCCUGAUGGAGGGGGAUAACUACUGGAAACGGUAGCUAAUACCGCAUAACGUCGCAAGACCAAAGAGGGGGACCCUCGGGCCUCUUGCCAUCGGAUGUGCCCAGAUGGGAUUAGCUUGUUGGUGGGGUAACGGCUCACCAAGGCGACGCUCCCUAGCUGGUCUGAGAGGAUGACCAGCCACCCUGGAACUGAGACACGGCCCCGACUCCUACGGGAGGCAGCAGUGGGGAAUAUUGCACAAUGGGCGCAAGCCUGAUGCAGCCAUGCCGCGUGUAUGACGAAGGCCUUCGGGUUGUAAAGUACUUUCAGCGGGGAGGAAGGGAGUAAAGUUAAUACCUUUGCUCAUUGACGUUACCCGCAGAAGAAGCACCGGCUAACUACGUG
rnacentral:rRNA from 1 species